rnacentral:snoRNA from 1 species
UGCACCUUUCUUUAAUAGUCUUUACUCGGAAGGCCAGAGGAACACUGUGACUCAUGGGCCCUGUUCCUGUGUCUCAGGCUCAGGGAUACAUUUGGUUACUGACACCA